CGGCCCGUAGCUCAGUUGAAUAGAGCGUGCGGUCACGACCCGCAAGGUCGGAGGUUUAGUUCCUCUCGGGCCGUCCA
rnacentral:tRNA from 1 species